UUACAAUUCGAUAUAUCUAUUCUCAAAAUAAAUAAAUAAAAAUCCCCUCGUUAGUUUAAGUAUGAGGCUUUGCUCUUAGAGAGAGGCGGUGGGUUUCGGGGUGGUUGACGCCGUCCUCUCUGAUAGAUAGCGGAGCCAGUGAUCACUGAUUACAUUUUUUACGUUGGCAACAGCCCUUGCAUAUAUAUAUAUAUAUAUACCUUCUUUUUUUGUGUGUGUGGCUUUGAUGAUAUAUUCAGUGACCCUAAAAGAUCAGACUCGAAGAGAAAUACUCGAUUUCUUGGCGGGGCGAUCUUUGAUGGUUGCAGCCAUGCUGUUAUGGUGUUUCUUCUUGUCCGAUUUGAAGGCAUAUCUGAUCUGAGCCUACUAUCUCUACAGAUUUCUCUGUUUCUGUUUGGGCUUUUGUUGUUUUCAUGCAAAAUAUCUUUAUAACAUUUGUAGAUUUGUAGGGAACAGAUGCUUCCUUUGGCGGGGUGACUUGAGGGUCUUAUUUGACAAAUAGCUACUUUUGCAGCCAUGGAUGUGUUGUAUAAAUGAAUUCAAGUGUAUAGUUCAUUUAUUGAUGAUAGAAAAGAACUUUCUAGUUCAUACCAAACAUGAAAUUUGAAAUUAAAGAUGAAUUCUUUGGAAUUCAUAUACAGUACACGGCCUUUCUGUCUGGUAAAAUGCGAAUCUGAGCCUUCUUUUACUGUCUUAUUAACCGACUUGAAAAUGUGUUUUUUCAUGGUUUCUUUAAAAUAAAUCAUGUGACAUGUUUUUUAAUAUAUUGCUUCGAGAAUUUCAAUUUUGGUCUGUGGGUAUGGAAGAGGAAGAAGGUCAACCAUGAAAUUACAGUUAUUAUCAUUGUUUCGAAAACAAUUUCUGGAUUCAUUUUCUCUUUCACUUCCAUUUUUGGUUCCUACUGUGUGUGAUUUGUACACUUUUGGCCUUCUUAUAGACUAUAAAUUAAACAUUUUAAAAUAAUUAUAACUUCCUUGAUAGUGUGAUGGGCUACUGCCCCCAACUUGUUUUUUGGACAACUAUUGACUGCCUGCUUACCCUUGCAUUUUUCUGUUUUCUUGAUGAGUUCUAUGUGUUACCCGUAAAAAAGGUUAACAUGUGAUAUAGGAAAUUCUUUGCUGCUGCUUACGAGUAGUAUGUGGCCAUUCUUAACUCCUUUUUCACCCUUGCUCAGAUUUUGAAUGUUCUUAUGUUGGUCAUUUCUUGCUUUCAUUGCUAGCAUGAUGCCGAAGGGGAAUUAGUUUUGUAGUUGUUUUAGUGUCCAUGAUUGGAUGCAAGCUGCUAAAGCUUAACUACAAAUGAAAGUCUGCUUUAUGAAGUAUUUCGUUGUUCUGGCUUAUUUUCUGCUGGUGUUAAUUCAUGGAGUAGCAUCCUGGUCUUGGAAUGUCUGCUAAGGGUAAUGAUACGAUAGAGCUGCAUUCUUGUUCCACUGUGUUUGGCGUCACUGUCAUAUCAAUUUCUAGUUUUUUAAAGUUGCUGUUUGUUUUUUGAAAUAGUUUUUUGAAAAUUGCCUGUUGACUGUCUAUUUGUUUGAAUUUUAGGAAACUUUAAAAGACUUAAAACAAAAACUGUGUUCCUAUAAGGUUAGCAUUAGAAUUAUAUUUAAUUUAAUAUUUUUUGGUUUUAAGCCUUGAGAAUUGCAAGUUUUGGAUGUGCCUUCUAAUGUCAGUAGAGCAUCCCUGAAGCUGAUAGGAUUUGUGUUUUUUGGCCUCGUAAUUUGUUGCUACAUAUGUAACUCAUUUGUCUCUUAUAUGUAAGAACCCUCGUGAUUUCUUUCAGCUUGAAACUGCCGUUCAAGGUCCCAAGAAGGAUAGCUUUGGUAAAUAUGCUGGAUCGAGCGGAAAUCUGAUGAUAAUUGGUAAUUCAGUUCUUGUUCAACUAGUUCAGCUUGCUGUAACUUUUUCUGGAUGUAGAAGAUCCUUCUGUCAUUUGAUAUGACGCCAAAUCUGGAUGUUUACUGGAAAAGUUGUUUCAAUGUGGAGAAACAACAAAUGAGAAAUUAUUUUGUUCAUCUUUCUGGGAAUGAAGGGUGCAAGGUGGCUAUCGUUUCCGAUAACUAUAAUGUAUACCAGAGUAUAGAAGUUAUUGUUUCUCUCCCUUGCUCGUGUGCAUCGGCCGGUUCUGUUUUCAAAUCAAAUCGAUUGAAAGCUGAAGAAAAAAUGUGUGCAGCUGAAACCAAGCAAACCAAGAAAAUAACUAAACUGAUUUGAUUUGGAUCAAUUUGGUUCGUUCUGCUAAUAUUUUGCCAUUUUAAAUGUUGAAAAAAAAAGUUGGUGAUCUGAA